rnacentral:rRNA from 1 species
AGAAUUCGCCUUGCGGAUCCGCGGCCGCUGAGAGUUGAUCCUGGCUCAGGAUAAACGCUGGCGGCGUGCCUAACCCAUGCAAGUCGAACGGUCCCGCAAGGAUAGUGGCGGACGGGUGAGUAACACGUAGAAAUCUGCCUCGCCGGAGGGAAUAACUUCUCGAAAGAGGAGCUAAUACCCAAAAGGAUCCGCAAGGAUCAGAGUCCGCAAGGGCCUGGCGAGAGGAGUCUGCGGCCCAUCAGCUCGUUGGUGGGGUAAUGGCCUACCAAGGCUACGACGGGUAGGGGGCUCUGAGAGGCAUGUCCCCCCACACUGGAACUGAAACACGGUCCAGACACCUACGGGUGGCAGCAGGGAGGAAUAUUGAACAAUUGGGGAAACCCUGACCCAGCAACGCCGGGUGAGGGAUGAAGGACUUCGGGCUGUAAACCUCUUUUUAGGGAGAAGAGAA